rnacentral:rRNA from 1 species
GAAGUUUUCAGAGAUGAGAAUGUGCCUUCGGGAACCGUGAGACAGGUGCUGCAUGGCUGUCGUCAGCUCGUGUUGUGAAAUGUUGGGUUAAGUCCCGCAACGAGCGCAACCCUUAUCCUUUGUUGCCAGCGGUCCGGCCGGGAACUCAAAGGAGACUGCCAGUGAUAAACUGGAGGAAGGUGGGGAUGACGUCAAGUCAUCAUGGCCCUUACGACCAGGGCUACACACGUGCUACAAUGGCGCAUACAAAGAGAAGCGACCUCGCGAGAGCAAGCGGACCUCAUAAAGUGCGUCGUAGUCCGGAUUGGAGUCUGCAACUCGACUCCAUGAAGUCGGAAUCGCUAGUAAUCGUGGAUCAGAAUGCCACGGUGAAUACGUUCCCGGGCCUUGUACACACCGCCCGUCACACCAUGGGAGUGGGUUGCAAAAGAAGUAGGUAGCUUAACCUUCGGGAGGGCGCUUACCACUUUGUGAUUCAUGACUGGGGUGAAGUCGUAACAAGGUAACCGUAGGGGAACC